GACGAACGCUGGCGGCGUGCCUAAUACAUGCAAGUCGAGCGAAGUUUUUCUGGUGCUUGCACUAGAAAAACUUAGCGGCGAACGGGUGAGUAACACGUAAAGAACCUGCCUCAUAGACUGGGACCACUAUUGGAAACGAUAGCUAAUACCGGAUAACAGUAUUUCUCGCAUGAGAGAUAUUUAAAAGUUGGUUAUGCUAACACUAUGAGAUGGCUUUGCGGUGCAUUAGCUAGUUGGUGGGGUAAAGGCCCACAAAGGCGACGAUGCAUAGCCGACCUGAGAGGGUGAUCGGCCACACUGGGACUGAGACACGGCCCAGACUCCUACGGGAGGCAGCAGUAGGGAAUCUUCCGCAAUGGGCGAAAGCCUGACGGAGCAACGCCGCGUGAGUGAAGAAGGAUUUCGGUUCGUAAAGCUCUGUUGUUAGGGAAGAAUGGAUAUGUAGUAACUAUACAUGUAAGAGGCGGUACCUAACCAGAAAGCCACGGCUAACUACGU
rnacentral:rRNA from 1 species